UAUUAUAAGUUAUAUGGUUCGCUACUGACCCCAUACGGAUCCAUAGAGGGUUAGUAAAAUCCAUAGGGGGUGAGGACGGAGGCCGAAUCCCCUAUGAAUUUUAUUCACCCUCUAUGGAUCCGUAGGGGGUCAGUAGUUAACCGUAUAACGAAUUUAUCGGACUCUGGAAUUUUUCUGAAAAAUAAACAAUGAAACACAACAACAGCAAUAGAUGACGUCACCAUUAACGCGUCAUGAACCCCC
rnacentral:lncRNA from 1 species